UGCUGAUCAAACUCAAAUGCAUAGCCCGAAGUUAAGGAGUCAAGUAAUUGAGUUGUACAAAACUAUGAGUCACUUUCAUCAAUUGGAGUUGGAAUGUUGUUCGCAUCAUCAACAAAUGUUCCCCAGCUUCGAACCCCAAAUCCAGCUUGGCUUCUGUGUACUUCACCUGCAAGUGGUGUCAGAUGUCUCAAUAUGAAUGAAAAUUCUCAACAUGGUGUAAAACAAACAACUUUUCAAUGCGUGUCAGUUUGCUAGAGCUUUAGGGGUAUCAGGGGCGGAUCCAGGAAUUUUUUAGGGGGGUCUACCAUUAAUUUUAGUUUCCAAAAGGGGGUGGAUGGGCUCCACCCUCAAAAUGCGUAUUUAUUUAUUUAUUUAUUCAUUAUUUUUAUGCCCCCGAGAUCGGGGGGGGGGGGGGGGAUAUUGUUUUUGUCCCGUCUGUCAUUGAUAUUUCAUAUGAGUAUUCCUUAUGACAAGACCUUUCCGUGGGUACCAACAUUUUUGACCCUUUGACCUUGGAGAUUGACCUACUUUUUGAAAACUUUUAAUUUCGCUAAUAACUUUUGAACAAUAAGUGAUAGAGCUUUGAUAUUUCACAUGAGUAUUCCUUGUGACAAGACCUUUCCGUUGGUACUAAAGCUUUUGACCUUGACAUUAGACCUACUUUUAAAAGAAUUGACAUUGGUCAUAACUUCUAAAUGGUAAAUAAUAGAGCUUUCAUAUUGCACAUGAGCAUUUCUUGUGACAAGAUCUUUCUACUGGUACCAAGAUAUUUGUCCUUGUGACUUGACCGUCUUCGGAAUUGGCCAUUAUCGGGGACAUUUGUGUUUCACAAACACAUCUUUUUUUAUAUACAUUUUUAAGCAGAAUUUUCUGACAAAAGGGAAGGGGUCGGAACCGUCCACCCCUGGAUCCGCCACUGAGUAUGGUACCCGUAUACGUGCAUACUGGAUAGAUCUCUACUUGUUUUCUAUAUGUGUAUGUAUGUCAGUGUAAUAGAGUAUUAGAAGUAUGAUCUAUCUCAGAGGCCUUCAACUUUGUAUAUAUUACAUGUAUUAUAGUCCUUCAGAUGCCUAAUGGGUAUAUAUAUGUCAUGUUAUUUAUUUAGAAGCCAAGUAAUUUAUUGCUGAAAGACAAUAUGCGUAAUUUUCUGUCCAUCAUAACAUUCAAGCUUAUAAGCAUAAGACAAUGAGGCAGAAACUGAUACAGAAAUGAUAAACAGGAUGUAACGUCCUAUCUGCUUCGGUUUAUAUCAGAAAACUGAUUAUCUCCUUGAUGGGAAUCAAAUGGUCAGACAGGCUGAAAAACCAUUUUGAUAUAUUUUUAACUCAAUCCAGCUACAGUACUUAUCAAAAACCAAUCAGAAUGCCACUGAGCAUGUCUUGAUUUUGACAUUCAUAUCUUUAUUUUCAUUGAAAGUAACACAAUUUCUCGUUUGUCCUUCUUCAAGGUUUUCAUCCCAACGUGUCAAUUAAUUCCUAUUUAAAUUGUAUUCCAAUGGAUUCAUUCAUGGAUACGCUUACAAAUUCACAUUUAGAUAAGUAAUGCAAUGCCAAGCGGGCUAUUUUAAAAAGCGCGAGUAAAUGAGCGAAAACAAGUUAUCGCGUGAACCUGUCUGAGAGAGAUAAAAAGUUCCUUUGGCUAAUGGUCAUAAAAAAAGCUUUUCUAGCCUCUGUAAAUUGUAAAACAUCUUUGAACGUGUUUUGUCUUCUUCAGAAUUUCAGAGACAUACAUGUAAUUUGUUUUUAUGCCUUCGAGAUCGGGGGAGGUGGGCAUAUUGUUUUUGUACUGUCUGUCAUUCUGUAAUUCUGUCUGAAACUUUAACCUUGCUAAUAACUUUUGAACAGUAAGAGCUAGAGCUUUGAUAUUUCACAUGAUUAUUCCUUGUGACAAAACCUUUCUGUUGUUACUAAACCUUUUUACCUUGGCAUGUGAUCUACUUUAAUUUUUUUUUUUUACAUUGGUCAUAACUUCUAAAUGGUAAAUAUUAGAGCUUUCUUAUCACACAUGAGCAUUUUUUAAGACAAGAUCUUUCUACUGGCACCAAGAUGUUUGUCCUUGUGACCUUGGUCAUCUUUUGAAUUGGCCAUUAUUGGGGGCAUUUGUGUUUUACAAACACAUCUUGUUUGAUAAUGCUUUAGAAAUGAUUUGCCGGUGAUUCGGAUCCGAUUCAGAUUGAUACACACAGUUUUGCGAUUCCUAUAGUCGGGUCCAUAGCUUCAUUAUAGAUCAUGACUAAAAUGAAUUAUACUACUAUAAAUAUGAUUUAAAGAAGCAGUGACAAACGUGCAUGGGCUGAGUAUGAGUCGUGACCAUGCUGAAUGGGAAUUUAAUUUGAAUGAAAUUAUUUGGUAGGAUCCCAACUUUACCAGAGGCUCGGAUUUUCUGAAUAUUUCCAAUAUGGUCUUAAAAUAAUCUUUCCUCAAAAAGCAAAGUGUAGGUCACUGAUAGAGGAAUCGGGAUGAUUUUUAUUUUAAGUUUGAAACGGACGACGACCGCGACAGACCUAAUUCGUUAUUAAAACUAGUAGUGACAGUUCAUCGCCAAACGCUCGGCACUGGGUGUGAAUGUCACGGAUCGUCUGAUAUGACCUUAAAAACGAAUGUUCCGUGUCACAGUGGGUGUGACACUUCUCAAUAGCCGUAAGCGCCGAGCAUAGGCCUAAAGUUGAAACCUUUCACGGGUAUUGGUGACGUCUCCGUAUGAGUGAAAAAUUCUCUAGAAGGACGUUAAACAAUAUUCAAUCAACCAUGAAACGGGACGCAUUGAAAAUGAGAUUUCUUUAUGAUAAUUUCAGGCCCUUGUGUGUCGUGUUGCAUACCCAGUGUCCAGUGGCAUAGCUUCCAUUGAGGCAACCGAGGCAGCUACCUCGGUAAAAAAAACAACCCACCUUUUACGUUGUUAAAAUGUCGAUAGCUUCUGGGGGCACAGCCCCCCAGACCCCCUGCCUCGGUAAUAUUCGAACUCAAGCUACGCCUAUGGUGUCGUCCGUAGUAGAGACAACGUAACAUGUUGAGAUACAAUAUUUGAUCCUACUAACAAUCUUGCAGCCUCUCCGUUUUAGCUUAUCAGGAUGGAGAGACCGAAAACACUUGGAAAUGAUUGCUCAUUUAUUUCGCAGCUUUUACACCUUGGUAAAGAGUACCCAAAAGGAUACCCAUACUUCAGAGAUAGGUGCAAGGCAGCAUUCGUGAAGAACAAAGACAAAACAGAUGAAGAAGAAA